rnacentral:lncRNA from 1 species
GCCAUGAGGUCAAAGGAAUUGUUUGUAAAGCGCCAAGACAGGAUUGUGUGUGGUAUAUGCUAACCUAAUGAGACUGAAGUGCAACUGGCCCCAAGAUAGUCUGAGUUCUGCGCAAUGAACUAACCAUUCAAGUUGUCCAAAACGCUUUAUUUACGUUUUGCAAAGAUAUGGAUGAGUCAACGUCAUUGGAUAUCGAGGCCCUGAAGGAGGACCGCUGUGGAUGCAGGCAUUUGUUCCAAACCAGCACUAGCACAUCAGAUUUGUGUUUUGGCACUAGAUGGGAGCAAAAGCUUGCACACUAUCUGGUAAUCCAUGACCAGGAGUGAAGACCUUGGGCAAUAGAGUAAGGACCUUGUUUCCGGGUACCACUAAAGGCCACAGUCUUCAGCCAGGCAGCUUGAAGAUGUCACCAUUCCUUCAAACCGCACACACGGAGACAUAGAAAUGGUAUCCACCAGUUCAUCUGACUCUGUGAAAGUA